AUCCUGGUUGGCUCAGUUGGUAGAGCAUGUGACUUUUGAUCUCAGGGUCGUGGGUUUGAGCCCCACAUUGGAUG